GAUGAAGAACGUAGCGAAAUGCGAUACUUGGUGUGAAUUGCAGAAUCCCGUGAACCAUCGAGUCUUUGAACGCAAGUUGCGCCCGAAGCCAUCAGGUUGAGGGCACGUCUGCCUGGGCGUCACAUAUCGUUGCCCAAUGCCUAUUGCAGUGCAAUAGGAAUUUCUAGGGCGAAUGAUGGCUUCCCGUGAGCGUUGUUGCCUCGCGGUUGGUUGAAAAUCGAGUCCUUGGUAGGGUUUGCCAUGGUAGAUGGUGGUCGAGUUAGAACGAUACCGAUCAUGUGCAUGCUCCCCAAAAUAUGGCCUCUAUGACCCACACGCGUCUUUUGACGCUCAUGACGAGACCUCAGGUCAGGCGGGGCUACCCGCUGAAUUUAAGCAUAUCAAUAAGCGGAGGA
rnacentral:misc_RNA from 1 species